GGUUUUACAAUUUGGGGAAAAUGUUAAUAUCUUCUUCUCUUCUUCGUAUCGCUCCUCCUUGGAAAGUUUGAGUCACCAUCUUCAAUUCUUCAUCUCAAUUCCUUGAUCCGAAUCAAAAGCAGGACACGAUACACAUGGUGCACUACGACUGGGCAAUGCAACAAGUGGAGGCAUCAGUGUUAGGGGAAGAUGCGAUUUAUCUCAUUUGGAGGCUCAGAGAGAUGCGGAGAAUGGACCAUCAUUUAUUCAAGUCUUUUUUCAAGUUUAACGAAGUUUCCUGUUAUGUUUGUGCCCCUAAAAGGGUAAAGACCCUUUGAUUGGAAAAUAAAGAGAAUUAGAUUUGGUAAAUGAACUUGUAAAUUACCGAUUUCA